AAUGUCACAGCCAACUGCCUUACAUUGAGGAAACUAAAUGAAGGGAAAAAAAGAUGUAGAGAGAUCAUACAGCUCCAAGUGGACACAGGGAGGAAAAUGUGGCACACUAUCCAAACCCUGGCCUGGGAGUAGCUCAUGGAUCCAUAAAGUUUGGCUCAAUUGUUGGGAGCAUCACCAAAAAGUAGUAGGAGGAGGAGAUACCAUUCCUGCUCUGCCAAUGCAAAAAACAAGUAGAGGG